UCUAAGCGUUACGUAUUUUGUGGAAGUUCCCUAAUACGUGUGAUUGAACUCCUGGAGCAAUCUCUGUUGCAACUCCUGAAGCAAUUCCUGGUGGAACUCCUGGAGAAAUUUCUAAUGAAUUGUGUGAUGGAACUCUUGAAGCAAUUCCUGGUGGAAUUCCCGGAAGAAAAUUGGAGAAAUUUCUGGUCAAAAGUGUGUUGGAACUCCUGUAGCAGUUUCUGUUGCAACUCCUUCAGCAAUUUCUGGUGGAGCUAUUGGAGAAAUUUCUGGUGAAACAUGUGAUGGAACUCGUGGAUAAUUUCUAUUGAACUUCCUGAAUUCCUGGAAGAAUGCUUGGUGCUAUGCCUGGUGGAUCUCCUGGAGCAAUUUCUGUUGGAACUCCUGAAGCAAUUCUUGUCAGAACUCCUGGAGGAAUUCUUGGUGCGAUUCCUGGUGGAACAUGUGUUGGAACUCCUGGAGCAAUUUCUGUUGUAACUCCUGAAGCAAUUGCUGGUGGAACUCCUGGAGUUAUUUCUGUUGCAACUCCUGAAGCAAUUCCUUGUGAAAUUCCUGAAUCAAUUCUUGGUGGAUCUCCUGGAGCAAUUUCUGUUGGAACUCUUCGAGCAAUUAUUGGCGGAGCUCCUGGAAAAAAUCUUGGUGCAAUUCCUGGUGGAACGUGUUAUGAAACUCCAGAAGCAAUUCAUGGUGAAACGCUUGUGACAAUGGCGUUUUCGGUGAAGUGAAAAGUAUACCAGUGGCCCUUUCUGAAAUUUCGACAGCAUGGACAUUAAUAGGGAAGGACCGGACAGUUUUGGGGGUUUUCGAGCGAAAAAUGUUGCAUACAAUUUACUUCUUCUUCUUCUUAUUGGCAUUACAUCCCCCACUGGGCCAUUGCCGCCUCGCUGCUUAGUGUCCAUUCAGCGCUUCCUACAGCUAUUAACCGCGAGGUUUCUAAGCCAAGUUUCCACUUUUCUUCUUAUUAUUAUUGGCAUUACAUCCCCACACUGGGACAGAGCCGCCUCGCAGCUUAGUGUUCAUUAAGCACUUCCACAGUUAUUAACUGCGAGGUUUCUAAGCCAAGUUACCAUUUUUGCAUUCGUAUAUCAUGAGGCUAACACGAUGAUACUUUUAUGCCCAGGGAAGUCGAGACAAUUUCCAAUCCGAAAAUUGUCUAAACUGGCACCGGGAAUCGAACCCAGCCACCCUCAGCAUGGUCUUGCUUUGUAGCCGCGCGUCUUACCGCACGGCUAAGGAGGGCCCCUAGUUUCCACUUUUGCAUUCUUAUAUCAUAAGGCAAACACGAUGAUACUUUUAUGCUCAGGGAGGUCGAGACAAUUUCCAAACCGAAAAUAGCUUAGACCGGCACCGGGAAUCGAACCCAGCCACCCUCAGCAUGGUCUUGCUUUAUAACCGCGCAUUUUACCGCUAGGCUACCGCUGCAUACAAUACUAGGUAAAAAACCAGCAACUGGUGUGUGACACAGACGCAUGAAUUACGAGCUGUAUGCGGUGUUCAAAGAAUAAAAUAUUGUGAAUAAAAUUAAAUACCCCAGACUUCAGUGGGCUGCUCACUUAGUGCGAAUGUUGGAAGAAUGAAUAGCGAAUAUUUACCAGAGAACCGGAUAGACGCCGGCGACUUCGUGGAAGACCAUGGACACGCUGGCUGCAUGAGAUGGAAUCGGACCUGGGACUGGAGGAAGAUCGCCCAAGACAGUCGAUGGUGGAGCUCUACAAUACGCUAGGCAUAAGUGUAUCGACGGUGUAGCCAACCAGGUGUUUAGAUCAUUACAUAUGAAUCUUUACAGAUCAUAUAUAAACUUCAGAAGCGAUUUUCAACUAAUGGUCGACUUGAUAUUAUUAUGGUACUUCAAAAUUCUUCUGCAAUUGUUGAUUUCAACUAUGUCGAAUGAACACGGUGAGGGCGUCGUUGAAGUCUUUGGCCCGAUGUCAUUAUCUUACAAACAGAUCAGUAGAAAACAUUUCCAACCAAAUGGACAAAUGCAUUUAAUAUUACUGUUAACGAAGCAAAAAUGCAGAUACAUGUAUUUUAUAUUUUAAAUGGAAGUCAAAGAUUGAAUUUCAAAAAAAGAAGAAAAAUGAGCAAGUGUAGUUAUACGAACACAGUUAUUUUCAUGAAUUGCAACACAAAAAAAAGCUAAAUAUUCAAAUUUAUCUGUAAAAUGUUUCUAACAAAAUAUUUACAAUAAAUAAUUUUUUAAAUCGAUAAAUAACAUGUGUUUUGACUUCGUUUUUCUUAACCUAGUUUGUUUGCUUACCUUCAAAAUAAAUACGGGAAAUUGAUCAACCUCUAACUUGUCCACAUGUUAAGGUGAUAGCGGGCUAUCGACCACGAUAAAAGCUUUCAAGCAGGUCACAGGGCACAGAAGCACUAAGGGCCGAUGCUCACGUAGCAGUUUUCCAAGCCCCGUGAACGCAGCGUCCUUUAAACACCACGUGCACGAAACACAAAAACACAAAAGUUCAACUCCAUGGAUGCAGUGGUUCUACGCCCCAACAAAAAAAACACCACAUACACGCAGCGUUGGUAAGACGUUAGGUACGUGGGCAUCGCCCCCAGAUUCAUGAAUGAGAAGUUUCUUUUAUCAAUAUCUCAACGAUGUAAGGUAGAAAAUCCUGGAUUAUAUUGAAAAAGCGUCAUAAGUGACUGGGCCUCUAAAGAAUAGUCUUUUAGUGACCGACCCGAAAAAAGUUACCGAGUUCGAAUUAGACGUUCUAAGUUUUUCAAAAUAUUCUGCUAUUUGGUUAAUUGUUUUACGAGGCCAACAACACCUGAUUCAAAUUCCCCCAUCCUCAUACAAAUAGUUCACAAUCAAAUUGCUAUCCAAUUAUGUCCAAAUCAUGCGUUUCAAAUUCUCCAAAUUGUACGCCUUGUACAAAUGCGACAGUAAAUACUUUUUUUAUAUCACAAUAGUUCAUCUUUGAGUGAUAAAACGGCCUACGAAUACAUCCCGGGAGUGUGUGAUGACGCAUUCGUUACUGCAGUACUCAUCUUACCACUCACUCGGAACUAACGAUCCCCAGGUUUUGUCAUCCUUGCCGUAUACAUUGCUGGGGAGGGACGUUCUGCCGCGGUGGGCUGCCGGAGAGCGGCAAAGCAACCUGAUAGGGAGUCAUGUGACCACUUGGUUGUUACUGCUGCUGCGUCGGAUAGUCAGAAACCUGAAGGUGUUGCUGAUUGUGUGACAUCUGUUGAUUCAUGUAGUGUGAUUGCGGUAGGGUCAUUUCCGUAUUCAUCAUUCCGUUCAUGUUUGCAUAGGUAAUGUAGUGAUUUUCUUGCUGCUGUGACAUUAAAAUCUGCUGCUACUGGACCAUCAUAUGCUGCUACUAUUGUUACUUGGUGGUGGCUAUAUCGGGUUCAUCUACAAAUGGUGUGGUGACGGCUAAGCUUGCCCGGAUGCAUCGGUAGUUGCGUUUACAUCAUGGUCUGCGAAUUGUACGAUGACACGUACGGCGAUGGAUAGCUUUUCGGCU